UACGAAGGGGGCUAGCGUUGUUCGGAAUUACUGGGCGUAAAGCGUGCGCAGGCGGCUUCUCAAGUCAGGGGUGAAAGCCCAGAGCUCAACUCUGGAACUGCCUUUGAGACUGAGAGGCUUGAGUACGGGAGAGGUGAGUGGAAUUCCCAAUGUAGAGGUGAAAUUCGUAGAUAUUGGGAAGAACACCGGUGGCGAAGGCGGCUCACUGGCCCGUAACUGACGCUCAUGCACGACAGCGUGGGGAUCAAACAGG
rnacentral:rRNA from 1 species